CACUAUGCUCAGCCCUAAAAUUCGAUAGGUCACUACGCCCCCUAUCCGCCCGGGUACUACGAGCAUCAGCUUGAAACCCAAAGGACUUGGCGGUGCUUCACAUCCGUCUAGAGGAGCCUGUUCUAUAACCGAUAACCCCCGUUAAACCUCACCCUCCCUUGUUAAUUCCGCCUAUAUACCGCCGUCGUCAGCCUACCCUGUGAAGGACUAGUAGUGAGCAAGAUUGGUAAGACCCAAAACGUCAGGUCGAGGUGUAGUAUAUGAGAGGGGAAGAAAUGGGCUACAUUUCCUAGAUCAGGAAAUACGAACAAUGAACUGAAAUAAGCAUUAGAAGGUGGAUUUAGCAGUAAGCAGAGAAACAGAGUGUUCUGCUGAAAAUAAUGGCAAUAAAGCACGUACAUAUCGCCCGUCACUCUCCCCAAGCCUAACGCAUUAACAAAUACCUAAAAAACCGCACCUGCAAAGGGGAGGCAAGUCGUAA
rnacentral:rRNA from 1 species